UUGGACCACACACCCUCUCCACUGAAUAACAGACAGGUGUUUCAAAUCCUUAACCCGACUUGGACCACACACCCUCUCCACUGAAUAACAGACAGGUGUUUCAAAUCCUUAACCCGACUUGGACCACACACCCUCUCCACUGAAUAACAGACAGGUGUUUCAAAUCCUUAACCCCGACUUGGACCACACACCCUCUCCACUGAAUAACAGACAGGUGUUUCAAAUCCUUAACCCCGACUUGGACCACACACCCUCUCCACUGAAUAACAGACAGGUGUUUCAAAUCCUUAACCCCGACUUGGACCACACACCCUCUCCACUGAAUAACAGACAGGUGUUUCAAAUCCUUAACCCCGACUUGGACCACACACCCUCUCCACUGAAUAACAGACAGGUGUUUCAAAUCCUUAACCCCGACUUGGACCACACACCCUCUCCACUGAAUAACAGACAGGUGUUUCAAAUCCUUAACCCCGACUUGGACCACACACCCUCUCCACUGAAUAACAGACAGGUGUUUCAAAUCCUUAACCCCGACUUGGACCACACACCCUCUCCACUGAAUAACAGACAGGUGUUUCAAAUCCUUAACCCCGACUUGGACCACACACCCUCUCCACUGAAUAACAGACAGGUGUUUCAAAUCCUUAACCCCGACUUGGACCACACACCCUCUCCACUGAAUAACAGACAGGUGUUUCAAAUCCUUAACCCCGACUUGGACCACACACCCUCUC